rnacentral:rRNA from 1 species
CCUACGGGUGACAGCAGUGAGGAAUAUUGGUCAAUGGCCGAGAGGCUGAACCAGCCAAGUCGCGUGAGGGAAGACGGCCCUACGGGUUGUAAACCUCUUUUGUCGGGGAGCAAAGAGAGUCACGUGUGACUCAUUGAGAGUCUCCGAAGAAAAAGCAUCGGCUAACUCCGUGCCAGCAGCCGCGGUAAUACGGAGGAUGCGAGCGUUAUCCGGAUUUAUUGGGUUAAAAGGGUGCGCAGGCGGAGGUGCAAGUCAGCGGUCAAAUUGCGGGGCUCAACCCCGUACUGCCGUUGAAACUGCAGCCCUUGAGUGCGCGAGAAGUAUGCGGAAUGCGUGGUGUAGCGGUGAAAUGCAUAGAUAUCACGCAGAACUCCGAUGGCGAAGGCAGCAUACCGGCGCGCAACUGACGCUCAUGCACGAAAGCGUGGGUAUCGAACAGGAUUAGAUACCCUGGUAGUC